UACGAAGGGGGCUAGCGUUGUUCGGAUUUACUGGGCGUAAAGCGCACGUAGGCGGAUCGUUAAGUCGGGGGUGAAAUCCUGGAGCUCAACUCCAGAACUGCCUUCGAUACUGGCGAUCUUGAGUCCGGAAGAGGUGAGUGGAACUCCUAGUGUAGAGGUGGAAUUCGUAGAUAUUAGGAAGAACACCAGUGGGCGAAGGCGGCUCACUGGUCCGGUACUGACGCUGAGGCGCGAAAGCGUGGGGAGCAAACAGG
rnacentral:rRNA from 1 species